UGAACUGCUUGAUUUGCCUGC
rnacentral:siRNA from 1 species